AACUUGGAGAUAGCUGGUUCUCCGCGAAAUCUAUUUAGGUAGAGCGUCGAUCGAAUACCUUCGGGGGUAGAGCACUGGAUGGGCUAGGGGAUCUCACCGAUUUACCAAACCUAACCAAACUCCGAAUACCGAAGAGUACUAAUCGGCAGACACACGGCGGGUGCUAACGUCCGUCGUGAAGAGGGCAACAACCCUGACCACCAUCUAAGGUCCCUAAGUUAUGGCUAAGUGGGAAAGGAUGUGAGGAUCCCAAAACAACCAGGAUGUUGGCUUAGAAGCAGCCAUCAUUUAAAGAAAGCGUAACAGCUCACUGGUCUAAAUAAGGGUCUUUGCGCCGAAAAUGUACCGGGGCUAAAGCCAUACACCGAAGCUGUGGAUUCUUUGGAACCUUCGGGUUCCCGGGAGUGGUAGCGGAGCGUUCUGUAAGCCGUUGAAGAGAGACCCGUGAGGGCUCUUGGAGGUAUCAGAAGUGAGAAUGCUGACAUGAGUAACGAUAAAGGGAGUGAGAGACUCCCUCGCCGAAAGUCCAAGGGUUCCUGCUUAAAGUUAAUCUGAGCA
rnacentral:rRNA from 1 species